GACGGUUUGCCUAUGCAGUGUGAGGGGGAACUGUAGAACAGCACCAAAACAGCCUCAGGGCAUGCCCACUAUUCAGUCAACAGUGGGCAUCCUGCUCGGAACCCUGGGAGUUAUAGGCGUCAUACUGAUUGCUAAAUUUGUGAGACUGUCUUACCAGAAUUCAACACCACCAAACAAAGGCUGCCAGGAACGUGUGCCACUUAAAGUCUCUCACUAACUUCUGAGAGUUUUUAGAUCAUUCGGCCAAGCUGUUUUAGAGAUGGAGAAUAAUAAUCCCAUCCCCCGGGAUAAUAACCAGGCUGAAACAGUUUCACAUUUAGUGAGACAGGAAAGGUUACCCACAAUCCCUUUUAGCCAGCCAUCUCCUGUUUAUGUUGAGAUGACACUGGCGAACGUGACCCAGAUGACCUUACAAGUAUGCUAUAUAUUGACAUUCAGUGCGCCAAAAAUAGCCACGCCACUGAGUCACAACAGUAGCCUUCCUGCUACGACUGUAAACGAAGCCUGUUUGGCAUCGAAUGUAUAGCAGGCACUAUUAUGUUCUGCUCAGGUGCUCUUUUAAAAUAUUGGUAAGCGUGUCACAUUGCCUCAUGCACUUCCUGUCAUGUUUCUGCUAAAUCUUGCCAUGAGGACAUCAUUUGUGUAAUCUCUCAGGAUCUAUUUCAUGAUUAUUCUGCUAUUAAAGCAUAGAAUCAUAAUAUCACAUCCAGGGUUGCUCAUUCUGCCGGGGCGUAAGGAAAGAAUUGUAACAUCCAAAAACAACAUGCUGAUUAUUUACCCUCCAGCAGAGUUCCCAAUACUGACGUUUUCAGGAUGUCCCCUAAUGUAAUCUUAAAAAUACAACAUGUACGCAAAUACUACAAAAUAUGAAUUGCUUUUGGAACUGUCAACACAUUGCUUUGCUAUGAACAACCCCAUGAGGGUUAUGAAUGGUUAUGGUUGCAUAUUUUUGAAGGGCAGCAGCCCAAAAGAAUGUUUACAAAAGACCCAGUCAUUGCUAGGUCAAGCCUAAUAAUACUGUGAAAGGCGGGGUCUAUAUUUAGAUUCUCUGGCCUUGUUUUAGUUCUCUUAGGAUCAGAUCGGUACAGCUGGCUAACAGGCCAGAUUAUACUAUCAACCAGCUGAAACUGUGAGCUUUAGCUUUUUAACCUUUGUCAAAAUGUAUGUACAUUUUGUUAUAAAGAGAGGAAAUGCAAACUGAAAAACAGGGUUUUGUAAAACUCCAAAAACGUAC